AGAUCCCCAAACUAAACGAAGAACUCCCCCCAACGAUAGCAGCUCAAGAAGACUGAAUCUGGAGACCUGGGGUUGAGCAAGAGUUAGAUAAACACCCCAGAAAUGACCAAACAGAUUGCCCUGUUGACUUCCACAGCGAACCACCUUCAAACUAACAUCAAAUCAGCUUCAGAUUUAACUAGCCUGCCUGCCACUGUGAAGGGCCUUCAGAAGAGUGUGGCCUCCAUCGGGUUGCUGUGGAGGUCCUAUAGAAAAGAGUCGAUGCACACAAGAAAAUCAUUGAGACCCUCCAGAAUGACAUGGUGAAGGAAUCAACCAAAUAGAGGAAAGGAAAACUGAGACUGAUGGACCAUUUUUUAGAACGUUGGCAGGAGGGGGAGUGGCUUUUGGAGGAGCAGGAAGGGCUUGUGGGAUUGAGAGCUUGGAAACAGGUCUUUGCCCUGUGAACUCCUGAGAGACAGGAGCUAGGACCAGAGCUUGACAAAGCCUCCAUUACCCUUGCUUUGAAGACAGAAGAUCCCUGACAUUUUUGAAUCCUUGACUAAAGAAAGCAAAAGAACAUAAACUGAAGCUGAAGGGUGCUGAUCCCUUGAACCUCACACAGUCACCCUAAAGACUCAUCCCAUCCCAUUACCUUCCCAACAAGGAUACUGUUGACCUGUUUAGAAUAGGAUAAUGAAGUGAUUAGAGAGGAAGGAAGAAAAGAGAUGCUGAAGCCUGAGACAUUUGGCACAGCUGAAGAAGAAAGUAGGGUUUCCUAUUCCCACUGACCUAUGCCCUCCAUCCCCCAUUCUGUUGCUUGAACUAUUAAACAAACCUUGCUCUGAAGAAACUCACAGUCAGAUCUAAAUCACAGCAGCUUAGAAGAAGGAGAUGGUGUUGGGGCAGGCUGACCACUUAGCCUUGACUAAACAACAAAUUUAAAAGGGACAGUCAACCUGCCUGACAAGUAGGGCUUCUAGGGGCUUGGGCACCAGCCAAGUCCGGAGGACAAGUGAAUUCCAUAAUUUCCCCAGAAGCCUACUUAUUGAGACACAGCCCUGUUCAUCCUUGCCACAACAUCAGUUCAGGGGUGCCUCUCUUGUGUGUUUGAAGCUCGAGGGAAAGGGAGAAUCACACAGACCGUCUCAGCCCCAGUGGUUCUCUCUAUACUAACUACCACACCAACCCUGAUAUCCCUUCACCUCAUCCAUUCCCUGUUAUGGUAACCCAUCCAUCUAUAAUAUAUGUAAUAAUAAUAACAUACUAUAAUAGUAUGUUCUAUAAUAACAUACUAUACAAUAAUAAUAAU
rnacentral:lncRNA from 1 species